rnacentral:tRNA from 1 species
GAGGGUAUAGCUCAAGUGAUAGAGUGCAUGCUUAGCAUGCAUGAGGUCCUGGGUUCAAUUCCCAGUACCUCCU